AAAAUAUACAUCUUUCUCCAAGGUCACUUUUAGAGUUUAAGAGAUACAAAAGUCUUAAAGCUACAGUUAGUUACCCAAAAUUCUUUUUUUUUUUGGGCGGGGGGCGGUGGGGGCGGUGCAGAAUCUCGCUCUGUCGCCCAGGCUGGAGUGCAGUGGCGCUAUCUCGGCUCACUGCAAUAAACGCCACCUAAAAGUCUAACAGGACACUCUCCUCCCCCAAAAAUUAAAUAAAUAAAUAAAAUAAAAAUUUAAAAAUAACCACCACCUAAGAGUCUAACAGGAGACUCUCCUCCCAGGAAGCUGAGACAUCAAAGAGUUAUCCCCUCAACGUAAAGGUGAUGAGAAGUCUGGACCUAGGGGACUAAAAGAAAAGUUGCUUUGAUGAUAAGCAAAGCAGGGGAAAACAAAAAACCACAAGAACUCGUAACCGCAAAUGGGCUCUCAGAGAUACAAUCUAAAUUCACAUCACAAAAAUAAGUACCGCCCCCCAAAUAAAUAAACACAGAGUGGUGCCCAAGUGGUAGUGUUCCUGGGUGCCAGACUGUAGCAGACAUGAAUGUCAUCUGGUAGAACAAACUAUUAAAUACAGUAAACAAGAAAACAUGGCACCAUGAAAAAGAACCAGCCAAAAUAAACCUGCAAGGAUUUCAUUUAUUAGGAUUAUCAAAUGUAGAUUAUAAAAUAACCAUGCUAAUACAUUUAAAAUUAUUUUUUACACUGGGAAAAUACCUCCACAGAAAGAAAAUUAAAAAUAAAUGAUCUAGAAGGUUGGAAAGACAUUUGAACAAAUUAAAUAUACACUAAUUGAAAAUAAAAACUCACUGGAGAGGUUAUGGAAGAUUAGUUUACAACAGACUGACCCUUCCAAUAAGAAUAACUAGAAAAACUAGGUAAAAUACAGAAAACAUCUAUAUGCAGGCAUGAGAGAGCUACUAAUGCAGCCAAGACUCAAGGGUCCAAAAUCUUGAACAAAAGAGAAGUACAGGGAAGUAACCUCAACUUUCAGCAUGAAUUUUCCCAAGUCAUUUGCCAAUUCUCAAGAGGCUGGGAAGCUAAGUAGAGCUGUUAGCAGUAUCACAGACUAGGGGGAAAAAAACUUGAAGUUUGGGAACUGCUUGCAAUAAACCAGAAGUGUAUCUGUAGAAUGAAACCCAACUAUAUAUCAUCUCAAUCUCUGACUAUAUUGUUAAACUGUCUCUAUUCUACCUACCUGCCAGAAACAAAAACAAACCCUCUUUGGAAAAAAUUAGUAUCUGACAUUCAACUGACAAUUACUAGGCAUACCAGGAGACAAAUCUAUAAGAAGGAAAAAAUAAAAGAAACAGACCUAUAGGAAACACAGGUGUUAAAGUUAUCAGAUCCAGACUUUAAAAUAUCUUUGACUAAUAUGCUCAAGAAAACAGAAGAGAACUAUAGCUUCCCCUAAAAAACAUGGUAACCACCUAAAUCCAAAUGCCUCCACAUAACCUCCAUAAAACUUUAAAAAUAAUGAAGAGAUGAGGCUACAUGGGUAUUGCUAAAAGAAAAAAAAAUUAACUGAAAAAACCCUCAUAAUCCAUGUCUAUGGCAUAACUAAGAGGCACAGAAUAGUACAAACUUCAAAUGGAUUGUCAACUAAAGGAAAAAAAUCAGGCUUUUAAAAAAGAAAAUUUAGUUUUAUUCAGUCUUACUGAAGACUGUAACCCAGGAGAAUCUUUCAGAGAGAUUCCCAAGCAGUAUUUCAGCCCCUGUAUCAGGGGGUGGCAGUUCUGCAUCUGCUCAUAAGUUACAUUAAACAUGCUCACAAGUUACGUUAGAGCAAAGUGCCAUCAAAGUUUGGGUGUGAGAGUACAUCUUGUUACUGAUUACAGAGGCAUAGUCACUAAUCCCUCAGAAUUUAUCUUAUAUACAGGAAGAGCCAAGGGCUAGGCUAGGAUCACUGACCUCAUCUUAAAAAAAAAAAAUGCAAUGAUUCCAUCAAGAGAUGUGAUAACCUGGGCAUCCUGCUUACAGUCUCCAGGGCAUUCUUCCAGAGGGCUGCCCUCCAUCACUGAGUCAGAGCCUUUGUGAAAUUCUUCUGGCAAGCAGAAUGAGCAAACAUGGUUCCUUACAUUUGCUACUGUGUCUCACAACAUGUAAGUAGAAAAUUGGACACUAAAAUCCAGGAGCUGUCUCUAGAGCCCAUGCCAGAAAAAAACAAGAUAGACACUAUGUGGAAAACAUAGAAGGAAGCAGGGAAGCAAAAUACAGAUAAAAUAACCCCAGAAAGUAUAGAAAUCCUAAAAUUAGGUGUGAGACCUGUUAGGACAGAGCACUGAUUACUAUAGAAUCUAAAGGAAGGGACUUCCAAUUAUAAGAAGGAGAAGUAACACUCUUGGGGAAAAAACCACUUCUCCGGGAGAGGACUGUGACUUAGACAUGGGAUUCCUGAGAUAUAUGAUGGUAAAGAGAAAGAAGAAAAUAAGAGAUAAGAGAUAUUAAAAAAAAAAAAAAGAAAAAAAAAAAGGUCCUGGGCAGUGGCUCUCAGUUGUAAUCCUAGCACUAUGGGAGGGUGAGGCAGGACUGCCUGAGGCCAGGAGUUUGAGGCCAUCCUGGGCAACAUGGCAAGACCCUGUCUCUACAAAAAUUAAAAAAAAAAAAAAAAAAAAAAAAAAAAAAAAAAAAAAGCCCAGCACAGGGUCAUGCACUGUUGGUCUCAGAUACUUGGGAGGCUAAGGUGGGAAGAUCACUUGAGCCCAGGAGGUUGAGGCUGCAGUGAGCCAUGUUCACACUACCACACUUUAGCCUGAGUAACAGAGAGACCCUGUCUCAAAAAAAGAAAAAAAAAAGAAAAAAAAAGAAUAAAAGAAUAAAAGAUAAUCAUAAAAUCAGAGAAACACCAAACCCACCUCCCCUUCCAAGAAAAUCAAAAACAAUAAACACAAAAAACACACCAGGUAGGUUAAAGAAACUGCACUUCACUAUAAUAAAAGAAUAGGAUGUUUUUGAACUAAGAAACCUUGUAAUUUCUCUUUUUACAUAAACUAUUAUUGCUGGUUAAGAAAAAUAAAAUUUUCAAACCUGAUCAGAAAACAGGCAACAACUAUAAAAUGUUAUAAAAGAAUAAAAAUAAAGAAAAUGAAAACAAGAAUGCUUCAGCUGAUAAAUAGCAUCCUCAAAAAAAAAAAAAAAAAAACAAUAAGGCAGAGAAAACUAUAAUACAUCUUAACCUGAAUUCUAUGUUGUUAAAUAAGUAUUUACAGAUUUUUUUAAAAAAAUCCUCUUAAAUCAAACAUUCAACAAUUCAGUUCAAAAAUGUCAAAAGUCUGGCCAGGUGUGGUGCCUCUCACCUGUAAUGGCAGCAAAAAAAAUUAAAAAAAAAAAAAGAGAGAGACAAAAAUUAUUUUAGAAAUUAAAAAUAAAUAUAAAGUACCCAAGAGAAGGAAAGACUGACUGAAAAUAAAAUAUGUAUCAUUGAACAAAGCCAUAAAAACAGCCAAGAGAACAAAACAAAAUGAAGUAGAGUAGUAAGCAUCAGGAAAAUGGCCAGGAAUGGUGGUUUAUGCCUGUACACCCAGAACUUUGGGAGGCUGAGGCAGGAGGAUUGCUGGAGAAUAGGAGUUUAAGACCAGCCUGGGAAACAUAAUGAGACCCCAUCUCUGCCAAAAAAAAAAAAGAAGAAGAAGAAGAAGAAGAACCAGGAGAAGAAGAAGAACCACCAGGGGAAAAGAGAGAGAAAGAGGGUCCAACAUACAUAAAAUUGUAAGACCCAAAUAAGAAAAUAAAAUAAUGGAAUAAAACUAAUAUUUAAAGUUAUAAUAUGGGUUGGGCGU
rnacentral:lncRNA from 1 species